UAGGGAAUCUUCCACAAUGGGCGAAAGCCUGAUGGAGCAAUGCCGCGUGAAUGAAGAAGGUCUUCGGAUCGUAAAGUUCUGUUAUUAGAGGAGAACAAGUCAAGGAAUAACUGUCUUGACUUUGACGGUACCUAACCAGAAAGUCACGGCUAACUACGUGCCAGCAGCCGCGGUAAUACGUAGGUGACGAGCGUUGUCCGGAAUUAUUGGGCGUAAAGGGAGCGCAGGCGGUUGGAAUAGUCUGAUGUGAAAGCCCACGGCUUAACCGUGGAAGGUCAUUGGAAACUGUCCAACUUGAAUGCAGAAGAGGAAAGUGGAAUUCCAUGUGUAGCGGUGAAAUGCGUAGAUAUAUGGAGGAACACCAGUGGCGAAGGCGACUUUCUGGUCUGUAAUUGACGCUGAGGCUCGAAAGCGUGGGGUAGCGAACAGGAUUAGAUACCC
rnacentral:rRNA from 1 species